UGGCCGCACCUUCCCAGCCACCUUUGUGCAGGCCAUCCCUGUCACUUUCAAGUAACAUCCGGUCAUUUUCACCUCCUCCACCUCCCCCACCCCCUCCGCCUCCACCAUUAACUAGCUCGAGGAUGACUUCACUGGGUGCCUUUUCUCCUCCCCCACCACCACCACCUCCACCUCUGCCCUCAUCAUCCAGUGUAAUAAAUGUUGGUAGGGUCCCUCCACCACCCCUUUGGAUGGGGUAUGGGACUACCUCAGAAGUAGUAUCUAGUUCAUCACCACCUCCACCUCCACCUCCACCUCCUCCACCACCUCCUCCUCCUACACCUCCUACUCUUUCCCCACGAAUCCUACAUACCUCGCAAGUUGCUCCACCUCCACCGCCCCCACCACCACCACCUCCUUCAACCUACGUUCCCCCUCCUUUAUACAACACUCAAUCUGCACCAUCUCCACCACCUCCCCCUCCUUUUUCUAGAGCGCCAACUCCACCACCUCCCCCUCCCCCUCCUUUUUCUAGAGCGCCAACUCCGCCACCUCCCCCUCCCCCUCCUUUUUCUAGAGCGCCAACUCCGCCACCUCCCCCUCCCCCUCCUUUUUCUAGAGCGCCAACUCCGCCACCUCCCCCUCCCCCUCCUUUUUCUAGAGCGCCAACUCCACCACCACCACCUCCAUUGCCUGGAGCUCCACCUCCUCCUAUGCGGGGGCCUCCACCGCCUCCUCCUCCUCCUAUAUACACAUCCAAUUUACCAAGAUUGGCUAGCUUUGGGGGUUCCACAUCGCUGCCACCUCCUCCCCCUCCUCCUCCUAUGCGUACUGGCUAUUCUCUUCCUCCCCCGCCUCCUCCACCACCUCCACCAAUACGUGGAGCUCCACUGCCUCCUCCCCCUCCUCCUCCUAUGCGUACUGGCUAUUCUCUUCCUCCCCCGCCUCCUCCACCACCUCCUCCUCCUCCUAUAUACACAUCCAAUUUACCAGGAUUGGCUAGCUUUGGGGGUUCCCCAUCGCUGCCACCUCCUCCCCCUCCUCCUCCUAUGCGUACUGGCUAUUCUCUUCCUCCCCCGCCUCCUCCACCACCUCCUCCUCCUACACCUCCUACUCUUUCCCCACGAAUCCUACAUACCUCCCAAGUUGCUCCACCUCCACCGCCCCCACCACCACCACCACCUCCAUUGCCUGGAGCUCCACCUCCUCCUAUAUACACAUCCAAUUUACCAGGAUUGGCUAGCUUUGGGGGUUCCACAUCGCUGCCAC
rnacentral:lncRNA from 1 species